GUCUUAUUAGAAUGGUGUUAAUAGUCUAGCCUGCUCAAUGAUAUAUAUUAUUAAAUGGCCGCGGUAUUCUGACCGUGCAAAGGUAGCAUAAUCAUUAGUUCUCUAAUUAGGAACUCGUAUGAAUGGUUGAACAAAGGAGAAUCUGUCUCUAUAACUAAUAUUGAAAUUAACCUCUAAGUGAAAAGGCUUAGAUUUUCUAAGGGGACGAUAAGACCCUAUAAAGCUUUAUAAAUCAUGAAAAUCUUGGAGAUAAUAGUUGAAGAAGAAAGAUUUUCAAUAUUUAUUGGGUUGGGGCGACAAUAAUAUAAAUAAAAUAACUGUUAGAAUAUUUUACAGCGAAUAUUUGAUUAGAAAUUAAUAGAUCCUAAUUAUGGAUUUCGAGAACAAGUUACUUUAGGGAUAACAGCGUUAUUUUUCCAGAGAGCCCUUAUCAAAGGAAAAGUUUGCGACCUCGAUGUUGAAUUAAAAUGUCUUUAUGGAGCAGGAUCUAUAAUAGAAGGUCUGUUCGACCUUUAAUUUUUU
rnacentral:rRNA from 1 species